ACUCAAAUGAAUAGACGGGGACUUGCACAAGCAGUGGAUUAUGUGGUUUAAUUCGAUGGUAAACGAAGAACCUUACCAGGGUUAGAAAUCAACGUGAAAGCUCCGAGAAACCGGAGCCCUCGCAAGACUAGUUGACAGGUGUUGCAUGGCCGUCGUCAGUUCGUGGUUUGAAUUGUUCCCUUAAGUGGGGUAACGAACGCAACCCUCGUUGUGUGUUACAAGUGUCACACGAGACCGCCCCCGCCAAAGUUUUUGAAGCAAAUUUAUUUUUGCAGUCGAAAUUUUUGGCGGGGGAGGAAGGAGAGGAUGACGCCAGGUCAGCAUGACCCUUGAUACCCUGGGCUACACACAUAAUACAAUGGCUACUACAGCGCGCAGCGACGGGGCGACCCUGAGCUAAUCGUCAAAAGUGGCCUCAGUUCGGAUUGGAGUCUGCAACUCGACUCCAUGAAGCUGGAAUUGCUAGUAAUCACAGGUCAGCUAAACUGUGGUGAAUACGUUCUCAAGUCUUGUACACACCGCCCGU
rnacentral:rRNA from 1 species